GACGAACGCUGGCGGCGUGCUUAACACAUGCAAGUCGAACGGAAAGGCCCUGCUUUUGUGGGGUGCUCGAGUGGCGAACGGGUGAGUAACACGUGAGUAACCUGCCCUUGACUUUGGGAUAACUUCAGGAAACUGGGGCUAAUACCGGAUAGGAGCUCCUGCUGCAUGGUGGGGGUGGGAAAGUUUCGGCGGGUGGGGAUGGACUCGCGGCUUAUCAGCUUGUUGGUGGGGUAGUGGCUUACCAAGGCUUUGACGGGUAGCCGGCCUGAGAGGGUGACCGGCGACAUGGGGACUGAGAUACGGCGCAGAGUGCUAUGGGAGGCAGCAGUGGGGAGUAUUGCACAGUGGGAGGACGCCUGAUGCAGCAGCGCCGCGUGCGGGAUGACGGCUUUCGGGUUGUAAACCGCUUUAGCCUGUGACGAAGCGUGAGUGACGGUAAUGGGUAAAGAAGCACCGGCUAACUACGUG
rnacentral:rRNA from 1 species